UACACGUUGUUCACUGCAUCUUUCUUAUACUUCAUUCCUCCGCCAUGGCUCCCGAGUUUCCCAAUUUUCAAUCGGUGCCUCCCAACCAUUGGUACAGUUUGAGUGGGCGACAUUCUCCCUUCUUUUAUUCUCACAUGAUUGGAUUUAAAAUCGACAUCGCCCUUUUAAUUGUAUUGUUAUCUUCUCAAUUUGAGUGUUUUGAUUAAACGAGAAGGGACUGCCCCUUGUCAUCCCAUGAACUAACUUGUCGCCUGUCGGGAUGUAGCUAACUUUUUAUAUCAUAAUCUCUACAAAAGCCCUAAUUUGUUUUUUCUCGUUGCCAUAUGUAUUGCUUCCUUCAUUCCGUGUCAGUUGAGUGUUCGUCUGCUCCGCUCUCUUCACGCUACCGUCUUAUGAUAUUAAUUAAUCGAUUAUGUUGAGUCAAGAAACCGUGAUUACGAUUUGGUGUUCAUCUUUUGUAGGAGAUUAGUUUCUGCUACCUAAUUCAGGUCUUUGGCUUUUACUUUUGGUUGCUGAUUAACAAGUCUGAAAAAUAUGUUGUUAUCUUAGACCUAACUUCCUUUGAUCGCUCUUGGUUAAGGUGCCUCUCUGUUUCUUUAUUACUUUUCAAUUUUGGUAGUACUUAUUGAUAUUUUUUACUGGGGAAAAUGAAAUAUUACAAUAGUAAAAGGUAAGGAAAGCUUUAUGUUUGUUCUUCAAUUUUGGUUUAUGUCGCAUGGUAGGGAGUCUGAAUGGUUUUCUUAUUUCUGCUUCUUGGGUAUUUUUGUAUUAAUUGUUUGCUUUACUUUCUGGUGGUCUGUGCAACAUCAAAAUUUUAGAACUGCUAUGGCUGAAGAUAUGCAAGUCUACAUGUCAGAUCCAAUAUUUUUGGCCUUUAGAAGGACCCUACUGAAGCGAAGAAGCUGUUGAAUAUUCAGAGAUAGUUGGAAGAAACAAAAGGGUAUCUUUAUGUAUGGAGAUUGUUCCAAAAGAAGCUAUUAAAUAACACAAUCCCCAUUUUCUGUAUUUUCUUUUGGUCAAGGUUGUUUUGACUUCAACGUGUGUGAAUCUGUUCUUCUUCCUUAAUGAUUACAAUCUGAGUCUUUUUUCUUUGGUAGGUGGUGUCCCAUUUUGCAAUCUGACACGAGAAAGCCAUAAAUUGUCGCCAUGAAGAAAAAAUCAAAUAUGUUGGACACUCCAGCCCUCGCCUACUGCAACUCCUGAAAUGUCUAUACCCUGGUUAAAUCAAUUGAAGAAAGCACAUCCAAUUCUUCACGAAAGAUGCUUCCACAACAACAUUCCAAAAUGAAACAAACGGGUAUUUGGGUUUGAGGACUUUUAAUCUUUUCAAAAAGAUUGAAUGUAGGGACAUUGUUACAGUUUAUUUAGCGGAAUUAGUGGGGACAAAUUCUCUUUUUGCUAUUAAGUGUAUGGAUAAUGAGUUUUCAGAAAGAAGAAAGAAGAUGCCAAGGGCAGAUAUAAAGAGAGAAAUUUGGAUCCAUCCUUUUUUACCGACUUUAUAUGUGCAUUUUGUAUCCGAGAAUUUAUCGUGUUUGGUUAUGGAGUAUUGACCAAGUGGCGGUCUUCAUUUCUCAGAAAAAAAAAUAGCCGGAUCAAUAUUAUAUUGACGAAGCACCAAGAUUCUAUGUUGCAGAAGUCCUCACAUUAGCAUAUCUACACAUGCUUGGAAUCGUAUACCAGGAUCUAAAACCCAAAAACAUUUUAUUUUGAGAAGACGAACACAUCAUGCUAAAUGAUUUAGACCUUUAUCUUCAUUGCACUGUGAAAAUGUGAUUCCUUUCAUUGCUUUAGCUUUGUUCAUCCAGAUUGUCUUUCUUCAUCAGAUAAAAAUCUUUAUGAAUUAGUUUAAUUGCUUUUAUUAUCAUUUGAAAUAA